rnacentral:rRNA from 1 species
AAACGGUAGCUAAUACCGCAUAAAGUCACAAGACCAAAGAGGGGGACCUUCGGGCCUCUUGCCAUCGGAUGUGCCCAGAUGGGAUUAGCUAGUAGGUGGGGUAACGGCUCACCUAGGCGACGAUCCCUAGCUGGUCUGAGAGGAUGACCAGCCACACUGGAACUGAGACACGGUCCAGACUCCUACGGGAGGCAGCAGUGGGGAAUAUUGCACAAUGGGCGCAAGCCUGAUGCAGCCAUGCCGCGUGUAUGAAGAAGGCCUUCGGGUUGUAAAGUACUUUCAGCGAGGAGGAAGGUGUUGUGGUUAAUAACCGCAUCGAUUGACGUUACUCGCAGAAUAAUCACCGGCUAACUCCGUGCCAGCAGCCGCGGUAAUACGGAGCCUGCAAGCGUUAAUCGGAAUUACUGGGCGUAAAGCGCACGCAGGCGGUCUGUUAGUUCUACUGGGCGUAAAGCGCACGCAGGCGGUCU